UGCAGAGGGAAUUGGCUGAUGCAGUGACCAAGCCAUUCACAAUUACAUUUGGAACGUCUUGGCAGUCAGGUGGUCUCUGGUGAAUGAGGAAAAGGCAAAGCUGUACCCAUUUUUAAGUGGAAUGGAAAGAAGGACCCAGGGAACUACUGGCCUAUCAGCCUCACCUCCAUGCUGGGGAAAUCAUGGAACAGGUCCUCCUGGAAGCUGUGCUAAGAAGUAAACUGGUGACGAAGGCAUGAGUUGGGAUGGAAGCUCCUCAACAUGGUGGAGACUGUCCCCAGCUGCUGCUGCUGCUGGAAAUAGCUUGGGACUUGAUGAAAGGCAAUCCAAACAAGAGCUGGCUUGCAUGCGCAGGUCCUUCACGGUGUGGUGCCAACUUGUGAGGGAGUUCAUUUACCAGUGACAAGUUUUAACCGUGGACACAUCCCGAUAAGUGGUGGUGGCCUGAAGCUACAGAGGAACGUGGCAGAAUCCUUAUGGAGCACAGUGCUGUGGGACAAGCUUCAUUUGCUGCCUACAAUUCUCCCCAGGAUGCGAGUGCUCCAGGAAGCCAGCUUUCAGUGUGAUGACUCCAAGAAUAAGGCAGGAGAUGCAAGAUCCAUCCAUGCAAGAAUUAACAUACCGAGCAGUUUUCUUUGCCGUGAUGACCUAUACUGGAAGCUGCCUUUUCUCUUUAAUCCUAUGGGUAUUCAAAGCUAUCAGAGGCAAGUAUCUGGUGCAAAAAGUCACAAACUGCUUGAUUUCUCACUGCCUUGGAGGGACCUGGCAGCACUCAGCCCAUCGACACUAGAGGAUGGACAGUGUGAUGACAACAGUGACAACUCAAAAAAAGGCUUUAAGGGAGCACUCUGUGUUGCUUGUGAAACAUAAGGCACCCAAAUGGGGCUAUUUAAUCAGCAGGUUGCAGCUCCAACAGUAAAAUAUGUGCACAUGUUAAGUACACAGACUGAAAACCUCUUCUGUUAGUUGGAAGCUUUUGUCUCUGGCUUCAGGAGCAAGGAAGGCAGAUGGGAGAUUCCUCAUUGUUUCAGAAGGAGAGAAAGCAACAGCACUGUACUCCCAAGAAGCCCAGAUCCAGGUACCAGGGCCCUGGGCCACAGGGGACAAGCACAACAAGGAGCCCAGAGGCAUGCAAGGCCAAUUCAGAGAAGAUACGAGAAGGACUGAAACAAGCAGUCUGAUCAAUUUCUGACUGAACAGGAUCUGUGAAAGCUUGCCCCCACCGUUAUCAUUCCCUGGCUGGAAAUAGGGGGCAGGAGAGGUUGUCCUAUGGGCAUGGCACACAGCAGUUUGCUUCUGCAUCCACCUGUGCCCUACAAGGCUGAGACAGAGCACUUGCUGGGGAGCCAGGGGAGGUGGUAGUCCUGUGUGCUUCGGGCUUCCUCAUGGGCAUCGGGUGGGACUGACUGGAAAGGACUUGGCAGGGAAACGCGUCUCUCACAGCUAUAAUAGUAUUAGGCUGUGGGCCGGAUUAGGAUAAAUGGCUCCAAACUGGGUUGCAUAACAUAGAACUAAAGUCUGCUGCUUCCAAAGCCGUUCCUAUGGGUCUCACAUCACGGGAGUGUUUCAUCUGGGCCGCUUCUUUUCUGUUCCUGUAUUUCAAACAGUGGGCUGAGGUUACUCUCAUCUGAUGGGUGGAUGGAAGUGGGAAGGCUGGAUCCCUGCGUGGUUCCAGCUGCUUCUCAGAAAACACUGGGUGAGCGUACCCUGAAACUAUGCAGAUGUACUCCAGAGCUGAGUCUCAGAGUGAUCUGAAAUGCUAGUAGCUGCCCAUAACCUGGAUGCUAUGAGCAGGAAAGGAUGCAAACACAGCUCCAGGGGUGUGCAGCACAUAGAGGAAGUGGGUGGAGGGCUGUGGACAGGAUCCUCUCAGACAGGGUGGUGAUAAAAUUGGGCACAUUGCUGGCAAUCUAGGCGGUGUCCACCAGUGCAGAUGGAGGUGGUAGUGGGAUGUAUGCCUCCUCAGUACCCAUCACUUCCCACCUGCCUCUGAAUAUCACUUUCUAACUUUCUAAAUCCAGCGUCAUGCCCCUGUGAGAUAUAAAACUGAGUUCUGCUCCUUUCCUGCUCCCCUGGCUCCUGGACUUUGAGAGUUGAUGUUUCUCAUAAUGUAGGGUCUUCUUUUAAGAGGCUAUGAAAGAGCAGGGGAUACCAGGUGUGGCCUCAGCAGCUGUACUUAGAAGAAACCCACUCUGCCUGCGUCUGGAAAUGAUCUUCAUGAGCCUCACCUGGUGUUUAAAUGGCUUAUCUACAGACCAGAUUGUUGUCUGAGAGGGAACUUAGCGUAUGUGUAGAGUGUGGCCUUGCUGUACAAAGCAGAUCACUUGAAGUAUGUGUUCUGAAGUACAUGGUUCUUACCAACUGACAUAAAGAAAAGAGGCACAGCCUAACAGGAACAGUCCCUUCUUCUUUGCUGGGUAGCGAUGCGGUGUGGCAAGGAUUUCCAGAAGAGCAAGUGGUAACACAGCUGUGUGCUGCAGAGAAAAAAAGAGUGUGUCACAGAAUGGUUGCAGCGCUGCUCACAAAGCUCAAGAGCUGGCAUGUGGGCAAAGGGUAUGGUUCGACAGGAGAAAACUAUUGCAAAGUCAUUGGUAGUUGAUGGGAGAAGGUAAGCAGGAUAGCAGAGAAAGAUGCACAGAUUUAAAAACUAGAGGGAAAAAAAAAAAAGAAAAACACUGAACUAGUAAUUUUUUGUUUCCCCUGUGAAGUCACAAUCUGCUGGAUGCAUAGCAUGAUGUUUCCUCUUGUCCAAAGGAAGUGAUUCUAUUUCUUUCAAUGUUUAUGUUUGUCAGAAA